CCACAUGAUUGACUUGAUCAUUUGCUCGGGCUGAGAAGGGGGGAGAGAAAAGUGGCCAAGGGGAACUCUCUCGAUCGGCCACUCGGGCCGGCUCUCCGAAAUCUUGGCCAGCCAGCCCGAGGACGAGGAGGGAGGGGGCAAUUUGCAUCUGCCGCUUUUUGGCGAGAGAUCCCCCCCCCCUCCUUGCCUUGAUCGCGAUCAGGCAACCUCGCAAGACAUGCUCAGCUCUCAGCUUGGACUCCCCCUAUCUGGGGGAAACCGUGGUGGCCGGCAGGAUCGCGCAGCAUCAGUCCAAGAAGCUCCAGCGCUUAAGAGAAGUAAUCAACGAUAAAGUGACGUUGAUCUGCACUGUAACCUUGUGGCGUAUUUAAUGCACCUUCCCACUAGAAGAAAGAAAAAGAUAGACCUUGAAGGACCACAUGUCUUGGAGAAGCCACAGUGGCAGCCUGCAGAAGACAGAAAAGCAGAUGUUCUCAAGGAAGGGAAGUAUUUACAGAGAAAAAGCUCUUACCCCUCACCUUUAGCAACUCUGCUCAGCGAAACAGCUAUUAUCAGGCAAAACUCAUAACGUCUUAAAAGAAGCCACCAAAGUUUCUGAGAUUCAGAUGGAUAGUCUGUAGAGAAGAUGCAUGUCUUUAUUCCCACUGAAGGCUUAACAUCUACAGAUGUGCAUCUUCGAAGAAUGUUAUUAUCAGAGAAUGUGGAUACCAGCUGUGAGGCUGCUGUUCAGGACAAGCAUUUAGUUUUCUUUUAUUACAUACUGACUGGACUGAGAACUAAGAAAGAAAAGUGAAAAAGGCUUAUACAGAAAUGUUAAGUGCACAGGACGAUCUAAUUGGUGUUACACACAUUUUAAAAAGAUAUUCUGGGAUACUUACGCUAUUUUAAGAAACAAGAAUGAACCAGAAAUGUAAAACCUAGGAUCCAAGAAUUUAAUUGUCUCCUUAUAAUAGCUUCAAGUUAAAUCCUGAAUCCAAACAUCUAAAGGGUUUUUAGAUUAUUCAAUUGUUUUAAAGCUCAAGUUGACUGAACUAGAUUCAUACAAACUAGCUGAUAUCCUGAUUAAGGCAGUAGAAAGUACCAGGAAAAUGUGUCCAUGCUGUGGAGAACUUCACCGCUGCCACUGUGCCCAUGUGCAUGGGUACAUGAUUUUCAGCAAUCUUCUCUGCCUCCAGGAGUGUGCUGUGCUUAAAAAAAAAAAAAGUCCUCGAGGGCUGCAGAAUCCUCAGGGACAUAUUAUCAGAAGGCACAGAGCACUUCCAGAGGCAGAGGAAAUUGCCCCAAAUCAAUUCCCUGCCACCACCACAUGCGUGCUGGCACAGUAGAAGUAGGAAAGCCUCCAGCUGCAUUGAGCAGCCUCCAAUUAAAAGGCCGCAGUUCCUAUUGUGUCCUUGCUGUAUUAGUCAGGAUAUCAACCUUUUUCAAUAGGGAUACAUAAAAGGUAAUUCACAUUGCAAAACUCAUUACAGAAUUUUCAGGAAAAUCACAUGUGUAUUGUUACAAGUAAUAAUUGCAUGUGUGUAUUUGUAGUUGUUUUUUGCUUGUACGCACACAUACCCAGAAGCUAUGAUUAGACUUGGCAUUCAAAUGUAUGUUUAGGAUCCUUGAUGAUUCAAGCACUUAGACCAGUAAUGAUCGAACACUCUCAAAGACCUGUACCAUUUCAAAAUGUACGUAUCUAUGUAACCACUUGUUAACAGAGUCACUAAGGGGCUACAGUGUGAUAGAAUUUUCCUCACCACUUGGUAGAAUGAUACAGAUGACCAAGUGGUAAGUUGCACCUAGUAAAUUGUUGUUUGCAUUCACUCAGAA